rnacentral:rRNA from 1 species
UACGUAGGUGGCAAGCGUUGUCCGGAUUUACUGGGCGUAAAGAGCGCGCAGGCGGUCGUUCAAGUCGCGUGUGAAAGCCCCCCGGCUCAACUGGGGAGGGUCACGCGAUACUGAUCGACUGGAAGGCAGGAGAGGGUAGUGGAAUUCCCGGUGUAGUGGUGAAAUGCGUAGAUAUCGGGAGGAACACCAGUGGCGAAGGCGGCUCUCUGGGCCUUUCCUGACGCUGAGACGCGAAAGCGUGGGGAGCGAACCGG